rnacentral:lncRNA from 1 species
UCAUUCUAAAAAUCUGUGGUAAUAAUCUACCAUUCCCAAAAAGUUACGAAUCUCCUUAAUCAAAGUCAAUUUUUCUUAAUCGAGUAUUGACUCAACCUUCUCGAGAUACACUAACACCUAUUAUUUGAUAUUUUGUGCACUAGGAAGGUAGUCUUCUAGAGCUAAAACUUACACCUGCUCAAUUUUGCAUACAAUUUCUUUUUCCUAAGAACCUAUAAAACAUGAGUCAGGUGAUGAACGUGUUUUUCUCUGCUCUUUAAAU